rnacentral:lncRNA from 1 species
GCCUACCCCAGCCCUAUAAAGCUGCCCCUCUCCUAUCUCCCUUCGCUGACUCUCUUUUCAGACUCAGCCCACUUGCACCCAAGUGAAUUAACAGCCUUGUUGCUCACACAAAGCCUGUUUAGGUGGUCUUCUAUACGGACAUGCUUGACACUUGGUGCCAAAAUCUGGGCCAGGGGGACUCCUUCGUGAGACCGGCCCCCUGUCCUGGCCCUCAUUCCGUGAAGAGAUCCACCUGCGACCUCGGGUCCUCAGACCAGCCCAAGGAACAUCUCACCAAUUUCAAAUCGGAUCUCCUCGGCUUAGUGGCUGAAGACUGAUGCUGCCCGAUCGCCUCAGAAGCCCCUUGGACCAUCACAGAUGCCGAGCUUCGGGUAACUCUUACGGUGGAGGGACCCUCUCCAUUGGGUUCACCAUUCCAGAAUAAAGCCAUGCCCAUCAGACAGCCAGCUUGAUCUCUCCUCUUCCUCCUGGAAGCCACAAGAUUAGGCCGAGAGCCGAUCAGACAAACAACCUACAACCCUUAAGCUCCUGGCAGCGCCCAGCCAAGGCCAUGCUUCCUUGCAACACUCCUUCCAAAUGGCCAUCCCAGCAUGCUUCCAAGCAGGCUUCAUCCGUUCCUCUGGACCCUCAUCUCUUAAGACCUGCCGCCUAUAAAAAGGAUUAUAUCUUGAGACCCUAUCCUCUAAAAUUUUUUCCACACCCAAAACAAAAAAUCUCUGGGUCAAAAGUCUAAAACGCUUAGGCUGGCAACCAUCAGAUCCUUGCCCAUGGUGUCCUCAAGCCUACUCUCAUGAAAUGGACAACAGUACACGCAUAUGGGGCCAGUUCCACAUAUUUGGCAACCAGACCAGCAUCCAGGACAACACAAAGAUCUGCAAUCAGAACUAUUGAACUUCUCCAUUCAGACCGCCACUCACACCUAUGGGAAAAGGGUAAUGUAUCAUCGGCUUAGCAACAGGGAAUACUAUUCGUAUGAUGGAAAAUGGGGACAAAAGGCUUUGGUACAUAAAACAUUAUUCCUUCCUUGGCCUAAAAACUCAUCGCCACCUACAUUAAAGCUAAUAUGCCU